GGCUCAGGAUGAACGCUGGCGGCGUGCCUAAUACAUGCAAGUCGAGCGAACAGAUAAGGAGCUUGCUCCUUUGACGUUAGCGGCGGACGGGUGAGUAACACGUGGGUAACCUACCUAUAAGACUGGAAUAACUCCGGGAAACCGGGGCUAAUGCCGGAUAACAUUUAGAACCGCAUGGUUCUAAAGUGAAAGAUGGUUUUGCUAUCACUUAUAGAUGGACCCGCGCCGUAUUAGCUAGUUGGUAAGGUAACGGCUUACCAAGGCAACGAUACGUAGCCGACCUGAGAGGGUGAUCGGCCACACUGGAACUGAGACACGGUCCAGACUCCUACGGGAGGCAGCAGUAGGGAAUCUUCCGCAAUGGGCGAAAGCCUGACGGAGCAACGCCGCGUGAGUGAUGAAGGUCUUCGGAUCGUAACACUCUGUUAUUAGGGAAGAACAAAUGUGUAAGUAACUGUGCACGUCUUGACGGUACCUAAUCAGAAAGCCACGGCUAACUACGUGCCAGCAGCCGCGGUAAUAC
rnacentral:rRNA from 1 species